GUCAACUAACCCACGAAUAAAUUCGUAGGCUUGUAGGAGCAAUCCUAUUAAGCUUGGUUGAUUAGCCUAAGUAUUAAUUUACUACGUUAUACAAGAAUAUAUAGUUAUCUUGGGAUACUCCACAAGUCCCAUGCUCUAAGGGUAGUGAUUAAACAUUUUCUAGGGCUGGAAAAAGUGUUGCUGCUAGUUAAACCUUGUAUAACUUUGGCUAUGUGGACUUAC
ncrna:Clostridium botulinum A3 str. Loch Maree HNH endonuclease-associated RNA and ORF (HEARO) RNA